rnacentral:lncRNA from 1 species
GAUGCAAGCUGUGCGUGUAAAGUAUAGAGAACAACAAAAGUACAUCUGUUUUGAGGGCCAACUGACCUACACAUCGUUUUUGGAAUGUGGUGAGUAAAAAAAUCAAAGUUUCCAGUGUGUUUCAUAGAUUGUGAAUCAGUCAAGCUUUCGGGAUGGUGCUAUAAUAGCUGCUAUACCAAAUGUUUAGGCUUUUUUUCUGGUUCAGUUUAUUUAAUUUCACUUUUUUUUGCCUUGUUCUGGCAUUAAUUUCAAAUGUAUAAUGCAAUUUUAUAAUGUUCACAGUUGCCAAGAAGUUUAACAUUCCAAACUUGGACUUCAAAGUUCUUGAUGACUCAAAGACUGAAGUUGAUGAGGAUGUUUUUGAUUUCCUUAUGAAAAAACAAAACCUUGGUGUGCUAGAGAUUUGUCAAGCACAAGGUCCAAAUCCAGAUGAUUCUUCAAGCACCUCCUUUACCAGUUCCAGUGGAGAAAUUGAAGUGGACUCUGAUGACACCAUAUUAUUGCAACACAGUCCUACAACAAGACGGAGAGCUGACGACACUUCUCUUGCCCGAAUGGUUGAAGAUGUUCUAAAGAACAAACCAGGAGGAGAGAGGAUCAUCAAUGAGUAUGCCCGGACAAAAAGCCUAACGGAUAGCAGACGGCGUGACAUGGUCAAGAUAUUAGUUGCACAAAUGACAAGUGAACAUGGGACAAGUCCUUCAAGACGUGUCAAAGAGAACUAUGCAAAGGGUAUCAUCACGUUGUUCCCAUACCUGGCUGAUCCUAGGAGCAGGUUGGGCUAUGUAAGUACAAAAUAG